UAUUUUAAUGUUAUAAAAACUCAUCAAACAUUAAAAAGUGAAGUGUAUAUUCAGAUAUUAACAAUGGGCUUAAUCUUUUUUUUUUUUUUGACCUCUGGAGUUUUUAUUGGCCUGCUGCUCCCCAAAGAGUCCCCUGCUUCUGCUGGCUUAAUGCCUCGGAUCUCUGGUGUGGUUGGUCGCAGAUACCACUUUGCCAUCCACUGUCUGGCGGGUGGUGGUUUUUGAAUGGUUUGCAUGGAUUGCUGCUGUCCAGGGCAUCACCAAGAUCGAAGUCCUUGGCAUCUUCCAGCAGGUGGCGGUAGGUGGCGAUCUCAGCCUCCAGCUUGACCUUGAUGUUCAGCAGGGCCUCGCACUCCUGGGCCUGGCGCUGUCCCUUUGCCCGGGUUUGUGCCAGCUCUGACUCCAGGUACAGCAGGAUCCUGUUGAGCUGCUGCAUCUGCAGGGUGUAGUGGGCCUCCAUCUCCCUCAGGCUGUUCUCCAAGCUGGCCUUCGGAUUUCUCAUGGAGUCCAGUCAAUCUCCAAGGACUAGACUGUACGUCUCAGCUCCGUGAGCAUCAUCUCAGCAGCUCCGUCCUCAGAGGACUGUGUGGUGACCACUGUGGUGUUCUCCUCGAUCUGCUGAGACCAGCACUUGUCCAGCUUCUCUCAGUUCUUCCGAACCAGCUCAUCAUAUUGGGCCCAGAUGUCUGCCAUGAUCUUUGCGAGGUCCUGAGAUUUGGGGGCAUCUAUCUCCAUGGGCAACUCAGAGCUGGCAGUCUGGUCUUAUAGGCCUUUUACUUCCUCUUCACGGUUCUUCUUUGUGAAGAGCAGCUCCUCCUUGAGAGCCUCGAUCCCUGUCUCCAGCUGCAGCCGAGCGACAUUGGUGUCAUCAGCAACCUUGCGGAGCCCAAGUAUAUCACUCUCCACAAACUGAUGCAUGGCCAGCUGUGUCUCAUACUUGACUCUAAAGUCAUCAGCAGCAAGAUGGGCAUUUGUGAAGAUAUGAGCCCUCAUGUCCUCGAUGGUCUUGAUGUAAUGGUUCCAGUUUCUGACCUGGGGUCCCUUCUUCUCCAGGUGCUCCCUGAUUGUGCUCUUCAGCUUCCAGUUCUCGGUCUCCAGGCUCCUCACUCUGUCCAGGUGGUGUAUUUCUUCAUGCCAUGUCUCACUGCUUGGACGAGAUGUCUCCCCAUUCCACCCCACCUCAGAAUGCCUCAUCACUCCUCAUCACUUCCUGGCUUCCCAGCCUCACUCUGUGUCCAGAGAUUCCAGAUACAAUCAGGAGAAUCACCCAAAUAAUCAGCUUCUUCCCCUACAACUGACUUGAUUUCCCAGUAAAGAUGAUGUCUUGUCACACCCAAAAGGGCCAAAGUGUGCUCACUUUCUGGCACCACUAUGGACAGAAUCCUGGGAGCUGUGCUAGGACAGCAUGGUACCAAGAAAUGGCAGAUCAUAGGAAGUGGGGACUGGCGAUAUCUCUUUCUAAGUCAAAGAAAGAGGAUCCACAAAGAUGGUUUUGGUGACUCAAAUUCUGAUAGUGUUUGGAGAGGUUGUUACAAGGGAUGGGGAAAGGGAGGGAAUGGGAGGAUAGAACAGAGAAAUGCAUGACUCAGUCUACCAUCUACCAUUGACAGGAGGAUGGGAGGUGCUUCUCUGCCAUUUAUGCUUUCAUUCUUGAUUUUCCAGACUCUAGAUCCCCUGGGCCUUCCUUCCACAGAGUCCUCUGCCCUCUGUCAGCCUGGUCUGUUUCCCAGACACCCAAAGCAGACUCACUGACAUAAACUGUUAUCCCCAACGUGAUCUGUGAUUGCACCUCAAAUUGGUCACUGGACAUAGAUCAGCAUCCUGUAACCAUUUGUACUAUUUAGUCAGUUAUUUUACAGGGUUUUGGUAUUCGUGUUUGACAUAUAUUGCAUUCUAUUUCUUUUAAAAAUAGAUUAGGCCCAUUGCUAAUACUGGUCAUAUACUUCAUCUUUUCACGUUUGGUGAGAUUUGUAACAUUAAUAUAAAUGAGCAUACAUAUGCCACUCAUAUUUUACACUUGAAACUUAAAAAAAAUAUUGGUUGGAGCAUUUCUGCCAAAAGAUGCCUUUUAGUAUUUUAAGACAGACUUAUCAGGAUGUCCUAGGGAUGCAAAAUUUAGCUGUUAGUUGCUACCUGAAAACAGUCAAUCUUUAUAAAGCUCAAUAUCUCCUUUCGGAUCCCUUAAGGAAUAUUGGGAAGAUCCCUCUGCCUCUUCCUGGGGCCCACCAUAUGUUCUGGAACAGGCUAAGUUCCUGAGUUCUCGGGGCGCAGCACAGGAGUUUGCACCAAAUGAACAUCCAGGACAUCCCUGCAUCCUAGACGGUGUUUCUUAUCCAAUCCAAAUGGACUGUAUUCCUAUAGGGAGAUUGAGUCUUAGUGAUGCUUUUCACAAUAGUGGUGGCAUCGCUGGGGGAAAAGUCACAACAUAGUCCAAACUGGAGCAUUGCUGAGUCACUCACUUUCACGUUUAAGUUUCCAAAUCCCAAGUGUGUGAGAAAUUAAUCACUGUACAUCUCGGGAGACAGAGUGUGCACUGGUGGUCAUGAAAUGAAGCUUCAUUGAAGCAAGUUAUUGCACCUUUUGGGUGUGAUCAACCAAGUGCAUCUGAGAUUCCACAGUGGUAGAUUUGUACCCGACUCCAUAGCCUUAAUACAGUGAAAAACAGACAAGAGCUCAGACUUUAUCUUAAAAUGAACAGGCUUUUGCUUUCCAUUUCUUAGAAAAUCAAUCAUAUGUGAAGUAGCAGAGUAUAAUGAGUAGAACCAGGGGCUCUUGAAAUCAGAAGAAUCCAGUUUAAAACCUCAAAUCCACAUUUUUAAGGUGGGUGACCUUGGGCAUAAUGUUGCUGUAACAGAAUACUUGAUACUGGGUAGUUUAUACACAAAAGAUUUAUUUGGCUUCUAAUUUUGGUACCUGGGAAGUUCACGAUUGGGCAGCUGCAUCUGCUGAGGGCCUCAGGCUGCUUCAACUUAUGGUGAAAAGUGGAAGGGGAGCGGGUCUGUGCAGAGAUCACAUGGAGAGAGGGGAAGAAGAAGAAGUUAGAUUCUUUUUAGCAGCCUGCUCUCUCUGGAACUAAUCCAUUCACGAGAGUGAGAACUCACUCAUCCCAGAAGAAGGGCUCUAAUCUAUUCCUGAGGAAUCUGCCCCCAUGAUUCAAACAUCUCCACUCGCCCCCACCUCCCACCUGCCACACUGAGGAUCCACCUUCUACUUGAGUUUUGGAGGGAACAAACCGAAGCAGGCAAUGGUGUUUAAUUUCUCUCAGUCUCAGAUUAUUCAGCCAUCAAGUGGACAUAAUCACACUGACCUCAAGAGCUCUUAAGAAGAAUCAGGGAGACAAUGGAUGUACGUGUUCAGCACAGCACCUGGUAGAUAGAACUCUGUCAACAGUAGGAAGAUAAGGAAAUGAAAACCGACCUGGUUUUUGAAAGGCUUGAGAUAUUGAAGAGAGAUUUUUGUAGUCUAAUUGAGGUCUCUAGAUUUCUUCUCUUGCUUGGUGCCUGUACAGGUUGCUAUCUGUAAGUCAGCGGCUGGAGCACCUGCGGCAUGGCUGGAACUCCGUCGCUGUCAGUGGGGCAUCUGCUCGAGGAUGGCAGCCUACUGCAUGCCAGCACUGUGCUCUAGGAUUGACCCAGCUUUCUGUGGAAACUUGCAGCCUGAUGAUAAAUACCACUAACUCGAGGUAACUUGGAGGCAGUUUUUUUUUUUUUUUUUUUUUAAGAGCUAACACAGUUUGAAUAAACCAUCGAUCUAGAAUCUAGAUCAGAGGCUGGAUAACUUUUCAUAUAAAGGGCCAGAUAGAAAAUAUUUGAGGCUUUGUGGCCCAUAUGGUCUCUGCUGCAACUAUUUGAUUCUUGUAGCAUGCAGGCAGUCAAAGAAAAUAUAUAAAUGAAUAGGUGUGACUGAGUUCUAAUAAAACUUUAUUUAUGGACACAGAAAUGUGAAUUUCAUAUCAUUUUCAUGUGUCAUAAAAUAUUAUUCUUCUUUUAAUUUUUCUAAAAGGAUAUUUUAAAAUGUAAAAAAUGGGCCACACAAAAAUAGGCAGUGGACUAGAUUUAGCCCACGGGCCAUAUAGUUUGCUGACUCUGAGCUAGAGUGAUGUUUUGUUAAAAUGAAAUUUAUUUUUCACAGAUCUAAUGAUUUGCUGAGAGCAGUGACAAAGCAGAGAUAUGUUGCCAUUUUAUUUCAGAGAAAUUCUGACCUAAGCCUGAAGGAAAUUGCUUCCUAACAAAAUAAAAUACAUUUAUUGACUCUUAGGAGAUAAGGUUCACAUCUUUUAUAUGUGGCUUUAUCCCCACCUGGGGCAUUACUACACAGGACAGUGAGACCUUUAGAUUUUAACUUUCGUUAACUAAGCAUGGUCUCAGGCUUUGCCAUCUUCUGUUUGUUUUUAAUUGGGAAGUUUAACAUUAGAAGACAUGGGGCAAAAUAAUCACAAAGCAACAACAAAUGACACACACAUUUUGCCCUAAUUGACUAUACUGAGUCCACACUAUUAACUACCUCAAAUUUGAAGCAGAUAAAAAGAAAUACAGAAAAAAAUAGGAAAUACUGAAUGUCCACCAUAUAGCUAGAAUUUUUACCACCAUUCUACAAACAAAGAACUGGUAAUCAUUUAAGUAUUUUUUCCCAAAGCUCACACAGCUGGUAGAUACAUAAACUGGAAUUCAAACAUAACACAUAUGACUUUUUUCAACUUUUAUUUUAGAUUCACGAGGUACAUGUGCUGAUUUGUUACAUGGGUGUAUUGCAUGAUGCUGAGGUUUGAAGUACGAAUGAUCUACCACCCUGGUACUGAGCGUAGUACCCAGUAGUUAGUUUUUCUGCCUUUCCCUUCUCCCUGCUCCUCCCUCAAGUAGUCCCCACUGUCUAUUGUUGCCAACUUUCUGUCCAUGAUUACUCAGUGUUUAGCUCCCACUUAUAAGUGAGACUAUGCGGUAUUUGGUUUUCUGUUCCUGUGUUAAUUUGCUUAGGAUAAUGGCCUCCAGCUGCAUCUGUGCUGCUGCAAAGGACAUGAUUUCAUUCUUUUUUAUCGCUGUGAAAAAUAA
ensembl:lincRNA